GAUGAACGCUGGCGGCGUGCCUAAUACAUGCAAGUCGAGCGAACAGACGAUGAGCUUGCUCCUUUGACGUUAGCGGCGGACGGGUGAGUAACACGUAGGUAACCUACCUAUAAGACUGGGAUAACUUCGGGAAACCGGAGCUAAUACCGGAUAAUAUUUCGAACCGCAUGGUUCGAUAGUGAAAGAUGGCUUUGCUAUCACUUAUAGAUGGACCUGUGCCGUAUUAGCUAGUUGGUAAGGUAACGGCUUACCAAGGCAACGAUACGUAGCUGACCUGAGAGGGUGAUCGGCCACACUGGAACUGAGACACGGUCCAGACUCCUACGGGAGGCAGCAGUAGGGAAUCUUCCGCAAUGGGCGCAAGCCUGACGGAGCAACGCCGCGUGAGUGAUGAAGGUCUUCGGAUCGUAAAGCUCUGUUAUUAGGGAAGAAAAACAGUGUAAGUAACUGUGGAUGUCUUGACGGUACCCAAUCAGAAAGCAACGGCUAACUACGUG
rnacentral:rRNA from 1 species